rnacentral:rRNA from 1 species
CCUACGGGAGGCAGCAGUGGGGAAUUUUGGACAAUGGGCGAAAGCCUGAUCCAGCAAUGCCGCGUGUGUGAAGAAGGCCUUCGGGUUGUAAAGCACUUUUGUCCGGAAAGAAAUGGCUCUGGUUAAUACCUGGGGUCGAUGACGGUACCGGAAGAAUAAGGACCGGCUAACUACGUGCCAGCAGCCGCGGUAAUACGUAGGGUCCAAGCGUUAAUCGGAAUUACUGGGCGUAAAGCGUGCGCAGGCGGUUGUGCAAGACCGAUGUGAAAUCCCCGAGCUUAACUUGGGAAUUGCAUUGGUGACUGCACGGCUAGAGUGUGUCAGAGGGGGGUAGAAUUCCACGUGUAGCAGUGAAAUGCGUAGAGAUGUGGAGGAAUACCGAUGGCGAAGGCAGCCCCCUGGGAUAACACUGACGCUCAGGCACGAAAGCGUGGGGAGCAAACAGGAUUGGAUACCCUAGUAGUC